rnacentral:misc_RNA from 1 species
GAUGAAGAACGCAGCAAAAUGCGAUAAGUAAUGUGAAUUGCAGAAUUCAGUGAAUCAUCGAAUCUUUGUACGCACAUUGCGCCCGCCAGUAUUCUGGCGGGCAUGCCUGUUCGAGCGUCAUUUCAACCCUCAAGCACAGCUUGGUGUUGGGACUCGCGUUAAUUCGCGUUCCCCAAAUUGAUUGGCGGUCACGUCGAGCUUCCAUAGCGUAGUAGUAAAACCCUCGUUACUGGUAAUCGUCGCGGCCACGCCGUUAAACCCCAACUUCUGAAUGUUGACCUCGGAUCAGGUAGGAAUACCCGCUGAACUUAAGCAUAUCAAUAAGCGGAUGA